rnacentral:misc_RNA from 1 species
GAUGAAGAACGUAGCGAAUUGCGAUAUGUAAUGUGAAUUGCAGAAUUCAGUGAAUCAUCGAAUCUUUGAACGCAAAUUUGCACCCUUUGGUAUUCCAAAGGGUAUGCCUGUUUGAGAGUCAUUUAAUCUUAUCAAUGCAAGAAAGAUGUUUCAUUUUUGAACAUUCUCUUGCAUGGGAAUUUGAAGGUUUGCUGGUGCUAUCUUUAGCAUUUAGCUCCUUUUAAAUGGAUUAGUGGAACAAUUAAUGGACCAGCUUCAGUAUGAUAAUGGCUUACUUGACCUUAUUCUGUUGCUGAAAAACUGUAUGUUCUGCUUCUAAUCUGUCCCUUUACAAGGACUAUCCUUAAGGGGUAUUAUUCUUGAUACUUGACCUCAAAUCAGGUAGGACUACCCGCUGAACUUAAGCAUAUCAAUAAGCGGAGGA